rnacentral:rRNA from 1 species
UACGUAGGGUGCAAGCGUUAAUCGGAAUUACUGGGCGUAAAGCGUGCGCAGGCGGUUUUGUAAGUCUGUCGUGAAAUCCCCCGGGCUCAACCUGGGAAUUGCGAUGGAGACUGCAAGGCUAGAAUCUGGCAGAGGGGGGUAGAAUUCCACGUGUAGCAGUGAAAUGCGUAGAGAUGUGGAGGAACACCCGAUGGCGAAGGCAGCCCCCUGGGUCAAGAUUGACGCUCAUGCACGAAAGACUGGGGAGCAAACAGGUUAGAUACCCUGG